CGGGGCUAAUACCGAAUAGGACCUCCGAUCGCAUGGUUGGUGGUGGAAAGUUUUUCGGCCUGGGAUGGGCUCGCGGCCUAUCAGCUUGUUGGUGGGGUGAUGGCCUACCAAGGCGACGACGGGUAGCCGGCCUGAGAGGGCGACCGGCCACACUGGGACUGAGACACGGCCCAGACUCCUACGGGAGGCAGCAGUGGGGAAUAUUGCACAAUGGGCGGAAGCCUGAUGCAGCGACGCCGCGUGAGGGAUGACGGCCUUCGGGUUGUAAACCUCUUUCAGCAGGGACGAAGCGUAAGUGACGGUACCUGCAGAAGAAGCGCCGGCCAACUACGUGCCAGCAGCCGCGGUAAGACGUAGGGCGCGAGCGUUGUCCGGAUUUAUUGGGCGUAAAGAGCUCGUAGGCGGCUUGUCGCGUCGACUGUGAAAACCCGCAGCUCAACUGCGGGCCUGCAGUCGAUACGGGCAGGCUAGAGUUCGGUAGGGGAGACUGGAAUUCCUGGUGUAGCGGUGAAAUGCGCAGAUAUCAGGAGGAACACCGGUGGC
rnacentral:rRNA from 1 species